CAUCUUGCCUGGUGCCGGGACCUCCGUGAUUAGGAAGGCGGAGACCCCAGGUGGAGGCCCUUCCAUUGCACUUCGGAAUGGCUGAGACUUGCCACUCUCCCAAUUUGGGACUGAACAUACAUUCC
rnacentral:snRNA from 13 species